GCAGGCUGCAACCCGCCUGCGUGAAGUCGGAAUCGCUAGUAAUCGCGGAUCAGCAUGCCGCGGUGAAUACGUUCCCGGGCCUUGUACACACCGCCCGUCACACCAUGAGAGUCGGGAACACCCGAAGCCCGUAGCCUAACAGCAAUGAGGGCGCGGUCGAAGGUGGGUUCGAUAAUUGGGGUGAAGUCGUAACAAGGUAAC
rnacentral:rRNA from 1 species